AAAUACAAAUCGUUUUUGUAUUCUGAGUCACAGCACACACACACACACACACACACACAAAAUAAUAAAAACCAAAGAGAUUUUCUAGACAAAACGCUGCAGACUUUAUGUCUUCUAAAGACCUGAACGGGGGAUCUUUCCGCCCGGCUUUCAUUCAUAAAUUGCUCAACGAUAUUGCCCUGUAGCUGCUGGAACAAAAGAGGUCGUCACACCUAUUUCUCUUUUUUCUUUCAUUUUUUUUAGUUUGUUUGGAAAUCAAUAUCUAAACAAUGCAAGCAGCAGCGGCGGCCCUCGACAAAUUUUCUGGCAGCCUAAUAAAAAGACGAGCAAGUAUGGUCAAGCGGAGAGUUCACGACUAGGAGAUACCUUAGUUUAAUGAAGUCGGGGCAAAAGGGGUUUGCGUAGGUUGGAUAGAUAAGAGGAGGGUCCUGAAUAUCUGGAAAGUAUUGUGAUAUUUGUCGGAUAUUUAAAGUAAAAAUCAACUAAUUUUGCAUAAGACUUAAAAAAUUCAUAUACCAAAUUUUGUAACUGAAGUUCCUCAUGUCACUCAGAUCGGAUGGAUAUUUCUCUUAUAGAUGGAAUGGAUUAGUUAAGCACAAGACCUUAACUCGAUUCAUCAAGAAUAUGCUAGACACAGUAAAACUAAAAGAAUUUUCAGCUAAUGCAGAUUUCCAUAACGCAAUCAUGCCUCCCUUUAACUGAUUUGAUGACUACAGGGUGUACAAAAUUUCUUUCACCAACAACAAGCAGAAGUUUUGACACUUUUUAUGGCCACGAAAAGUUUUGUGCGUGUAUUACGAGCAUUAUAAACUUAGGAGGCAGCUCCGACAAAUGAGCCCGCCCGUGUGGCACAGCUCGCCGGAGUGCGAGUGCGGGUACGGGGCAGAUCUUGGACCGCCGCGUCGCAUUGUCUAUGGAUGCUGGUCAUCUGUCUGAGAGCGAGAGCAGAGCCAAUGAUUCGAUUUGAUACGAUUGGAGUUCCAUUUCAAGCAACUCAUUUGCAUGAAAAUUUGUUGAAAACACAUUUAACUGAAAUCGAAUGCUUUUGAAAAUACGUUGAAACGGUAAUUUGUUGGCCAGUUUAGAUGUGUUAUUAGCAGCGUUUAUAUGCAAGUUACGCCCAAAACGCGACAGAGAAAUAAUAAUAAUAAUAAUAUUAAUAAUAAUAAACACGAUACGAUAUCCAGAUA